rnacentral:rRNA from 1 species
GACGAACGCUGGCGGCGUGCCUAACACAUGCAAGUCGAACGGGGUAAUUCCUUCGGGGAUUACUUAGUGGCGAACGGGUGAGUAACGCGUGAGAAACCUGCCUUUCAGUGGGGGACAACAGUUGGAAACGACUGCUAAUACCGCAUAAUGUAUCGAUGGGGCAUCCUGUUGAUACCAAAGAUUUAUUGCUGAAAGAUGGUCUCGCGUCUGAUUAGCUAGUUGGUGAGGUAACGGCUCACCAAGGCGACGAUCAGUAGCCGGUCUGAGAGGAUGAACGGCCACAUUGGGACUGAGAUACGGCCCAGACUCCUACGGGAGGCAGCAGUGGGGAAUAUUGGGCAAUGGGGGGAAACCCUGACCCAGCAACGCCGCGUGAAGGAAGAA